UACGAAGGGGACUAGCGUUGUUCGGAAUCACUGGGCGUAAAGGGCGUGUAGGCGGGAAUGUAAGUCGGGCGUGAAAUCCCUAGGCUCAACCUAGGAACUGCACUCGAAACUGCGUUUCUUGAGUAUCGGAGAGGAAAGCGGAAUUCCUGGUGUAGAGGUGAAAUUCGUAGAUAUCAGGAAGAACACCCGUGGCGAAGGCGGCUCUCUGGGACGGUACUGACGCUAAGACGCGAAAGCGUGGGGAGCGAGCAGG
rnacentral:rRNA from 1 species